rnacentral:misc_RNA from 1 species
GAUGAAGAACGUAGUGAAAUGCGAUAAGUAAUGUGAAUUGCAGAAUUCAGUGAAUCAUCGAAUCUUUGAACGCACAUUGCGCCCCUUGGUAUUCCGGGGGGCAUGCCUGUUCGAGCGUCAUUUCAACCCUCAAGCUCAGCUUGGUAUUGAGUCCAUGUCAGUAAUGGCAGGCUCUAAAAUCAGUGGCGGCGCCGCUGGGUCCUGAACGUAGUAAUAUCUCUCGUUACAGGUUCUCGGUGUGCUUCUGCCAAAACCCAAAUUUUCUAUGGUUGACCUCGGAUCAGGUAGGGAUACGCGCUGAACUUAAGCAUAUCAAUAAGCGGAGGA